GGUACAGGUGCUGGCAUGGCUGUCGUCAGCUCGUGCUGUGAAGUGUUGGGUUAAGUCCCGCUAACGAGCGCAACCCUAUUGCUAGUUACCAUCAUUAAGUUGGGGACUCUAGCGAGACUGCCAGUGAUAAACUGGAGGAAGGUGGGGAUGACGUCAAAUCAUCAUGCCCCUUAUGACCUGGGCUACAAACGUGAUACAAUGGCUGGAACAAAGGGAUGCGAAGCAGUGAUGUGGAGCGAAACCCAUAAAAACAGUCUCAGUUCGGAUUGAAGUCUGCAACUCGACUUCAUGAAGUCGGAAUCGCUAGUAAUCGCGGAUCAGAACGCCGCGGUGAAUACGUUCUCGGGGUUU
rnacentral:rRNA from 1 species